rnacentral:rRNA from 1 species
AUGGAGCUACCAAAAAUCCAUGUAUUGAGUUUUAAACUUUCCGGAGUACGACAGCUACCUGAGAGCAUGGGCAACUCAAAGCAUCUGCGUUACCUUUCUUUACUUGGAAGUGUUACUUUCAGCACAUUUCCAUUAUCAGUAUGUCGUCUGCAUCAUCUGAAAGUUAUAGACUCUGGCAGUUGUGUGAUUGAGAAGUUUCCUCCAGGCUUCAGUGAUGUCCUCAGCUUAGAGAAGAUCAAUUCAAAGAGUAUUAGUUACAGCAAGGACCACUCUGGCAAACUCUGCCUAAAAUGGUGCCUUCCGCUGCAAAGUCCUGAGGCGGUGAAGAUAAUGGAAACCCAGAUGGAAAUGUUACCUCACUGGAAUCUCCAACAUUUGCAGGUAAAGGACUACGGAGGUAAAUCUUUCCCUAGCUGGAUCCAGCCCAACCUCCUGCCAAGGUUACGCUCUCUUGAAUUUAUGGAUUGUGUCAACUUGAAGAGCAUACCAUUCUUUCACCAGUUAGAUGGGUCACUUGGAGCUUGCUAG